rnacentral:rRNA from 1 species
CACUUCUAAGGAAGGCAGCAGGCGCGCAAAUUACCCAAUCCUGACUCAGGGAGGUAGUGACAAGAAAUAACAAUAAACCGGCUUAUGCCGGUUUAAUUGGAAUGAGUACAAUUUAAACAUCUUAACGAGGAACAAUUGGAGGGCAAGUCUGGUGCCAGCAGCCGCGGUAAUUCCAGCUCCAAUAGCGUAUACUAAAGUUGUUGCAGUUAAAAAGCUCGUAGUUGGAUUUCUGUGGGGACGGAGCGGCCGGCCGCACAUCGCGGUUCGAGCUAGCGCUUUCCCUACAUCCUGCCGCGAACCGUGCUACCAUUAAUUUGGUGGCGCCGGGGAUCGGCUCGAUUACUUUGAGAAAAAUAGAGUGUUCAAAGCAGGCCACAUGCCUUGAAUAAGUUAGCAUGGAAUAAUAACUAAGGACUUCGGUUCUAUUUUGUUGGUGUUCGGGACUGAAGUAAUGAUUGAUAGGGACAGUUGGGGCGGUCUGUAUUCCAAAGCGAGAGGUGAAAUUCUUAGACCUUCGGAAGACAAACAGCUGCGAAAGCGUUCCGCAAGGAUGUUCCCUUUGAUCAAGAACGAAAGUUGGGGGAUCGAAGACGAUCAGAUACCGUCGUAGUCUCAACUAUAAACUAUACCAGCUAGGGAUCGGCCAACGUUAUUUUAUACCGACUUGGUCGGCACCUUAUGAGAAAUCAAAGCAUCUGGGUUCCGGGGGGAGUAUGGUCGCAAGGCUGAAACUUAAAGGAAUUGACGGAAGGGCACCACCAGCCGUGGAGCCUGUGGCUUAAUUUGACUCAACACGGGAAAACUUACCAGGUCCAGACAUAGUAAGGAUUGACAGAUUGAUAGCUCUUUCUUGAUUCUGUGGGUGGUGGUGCAUGGCCGUUCUUAGUUGGUGGAGUGAUUUGUCUGGUUAAUUCCGUUAACGAACGAGACCCCAGCCUGCUAAAUAGCGCGCGUGAGCUUUGCUCGCGGCGAGCUUCUUAGAGGGACUCUGAUGCGCGAUAGCACAUGGAAGUUUGGGGCAAUAACAGGUCUGUGAUGCCCUUAGAUGUUCUGGGCCGCACACGGGCUACACUGGCGCCUGCAUCGAGCAUAUCAGCUGGCCCGAGAGGGUCUUGGCUAAUCUUUUGAACCGGCGCCGUGCUUGGGAUUGACCUUUGCAAUUGUUGGUCAUGCAACGAGGAAUGCCUUGUAAACGCGAGUCAUCAGCUCGCAUUGAAUACGUCCCUGCCCUUUGUACACACCGCCCGUCGCUCCUACCGAUGAAUGUUCCGAUGAAAUUUUCGGAGAGCACCUGUGAACUUGGCUCUGCCUUGCGAACGGGAGGCUCAAAGUCACUUAAAUCUGAACAUUU